GUCUGAGGGGAAAGGAAGAGACUAACCAGACUAGCUACUAGGAAGCCUGUCAAUGGGCUGAAUAGUAUGCGAAAUACGAAUAUAUUGACUACACUCGUAGAAGCUUAAGUGCCGAUAUUUCUGGACGUGGGUUCGACUCCCACCGUCUCCACCA
rnacentral:tRNA from 1 species